CAUCUUAUCUUCAUCUUCCGGAUAAGAUCAAAUCCCAGUUCACGGCUCUUCAUUUCUUCCUCUGCUUCAAAACAGAGCUCCCAACCUUCUCCAGGAUCUUGCCGUUCUUCCCGUUGUGAUCCAUCCUCAUCUAAGCUCAUCCCCUGCAUCCACGUCAACAGGAAUCCCGGCGAUUCGGCUGCCAAUGUCUUCCGAAGCCCCUGCCAAGUCCUCUCUGCAACAUGAAGUUCAGCACCUCCCACGGAUUGCAUCUCAUCCUCCCGAGCUUCACGGAUCAUUCUCCCA
rnacentral:lncRNA from 1 species